rnacentral:rRNA from 1 species
GGGGAAUAUUGGACAAUGGGCGCAAGCCUGAUCUAGCCAUGCCGCGUGAGUGAUGAAGGCCCUAGGGUUGUAAAGCUCUUUCAACGGUGAAGAUAAUGACGGUAACCGUAGAAGAAGCCCCGGCUAACUUCGUGCCAGCAGCCGCGGUAAUACGAAGGGGGCUAGCGUUGUUCGGAAUUACUGGGCGUAAAGCGCACGUAGGCGGAUUGGUCAGUUAGGGGUGAAAUCCCAGGGCUCAACCCUGGAACUGCCUUUAAUACUGCCGGUCUAGAGUUCGAGAGAGGUGAGUGGAAUUCCGAGUGUAGAGGUGAAAUUCGUAGAUAUUCGGAGGAACACCAGUGGCGAAGGCGGCUCACUGGCUCGAUACUGACGCUGAGGUGCGAAAGCGUGGGGAGCAAAC